rnacentral:tRNA from 1 species
GCUUGGUAACAAAGCUCUUGGUCUUGUGAGUCGGGGUUAGCAAUCCCGCCGCMUCAUCUCGGCCAUAUUACC